rnacentral:rRNA from 1 species
AUUGAACGCUGGCGGCAGGCCUUACACAUGCAAGUCGAACGAGUGGCGGACGGGUGAGUAAUGUCUGGGAAACUGCCUGAUGGAGGGGGAUAACUACUGGAAACGGUAGCUAAUACCGCAUACCAUCGGAUGUGCCGAGAUGGGAUUAGCUAGUUGGUGGGGUAACUGCUCACCAAGGCGACGAUCCCUAGCUGGUAUGAGAGGAUGACCAGCCACACUGGAACUGAGACACGGUCCAGACUCCUACGGGAGACAGCAGUGGGGAAUAUUGCACAAUGGGGGAAAGCCUGAUGCAGCCAUGCCGCGUGUAUGAUGAAGGCCUUCGGGUUGUAAAGUACUUUCAGCGGGGAGGCGUUAUCUGCAGAAGAAGCACCGGCUAACUCCGUGCCAGCAGCCGCGGUAAUUC